rnacentral:rRNA from 1 species
UACGGAGGGUGCAAGCGUUAUCCGGAUUCACUGGGUUUAAAGGGUGCGUAGGCGGAUAAGUAAGUCAGUGGUGAAAUCUCUGGGCUUAACUCAGAAACUGCCGUUGAUACUAUUUGUCUUGAAUAUCUUGGAGGUAAGCGGAAUAUGUCAUGUAGCGGUGAAAUGCUUAGAUAUGACAUAGAACACCGAUAGCGAAGGCAGCUUACUACAGGAAGAUUGACGCUGAGGCACGAAAGCGUGGGGAGCAAACAGG